UUCUUGCGUUCACAUUGAACGAGAUAGUUAGCCCCACUGUAUUUUUUUUUCAGCCGGACAAGGGCGAGAACCGGCCGCCGCUCCGAUGUCCUCCACAGCUCCACCACGCCCGCCCACCCGCGCCGCACCGGUCUCCUCCACCGAUCCGCGUCCGGGCGGAGCUCCGCGAGGAGCACCGCGACCUGCGGCCGGGUGCCGUCGAGCGCGACCUUUAGAAGCUCAUCGCCAUCGACGGAGAGCUCCGCCGUGGCGCCCGCGGGCAGGCCCGGCACCCUGGGCAGGUCCAGCGGCGCGACCGUCACCGCCCCGGCGGCCUCCGCCAGCAACGCUCCUCCACCAAGCCCCGCUCUCCGGCGUUGAUGUGCCGCAGCAGCUCGCCGCUUUUCAACCCGCUCUGCUUGUAGGUUCGUGCUUUCUGCCACGGGACAACUCCUUUGUCACUCCGCGCGUUAUUCCACCACGCGCCCAUCAUGGCCCCCUUCUUUGCGAAUCACCUCUGGGAGUGGAUUAACUCUACUUUUUUUUUGUUGACCAUGAUUUAUACAUUUGAUCCCAAUGUAUUUUGAGGUAUAUCUGGCUGCAGCGACAAGUCAAUGAUAGGCGAACAGGAGUUGGAGAUGGAUCGAAUGUAAUCCCAUCCUGUAUUUUAUAUAUGUAAUUUUGAAGGGUUGGGUGAAAUUUCGGAAUUAUAUAUAUUACGUUUAGAGUUUUUUUCCAUAUUACUGGAAGGGGUGGAUGCUGAUGUGGAACAGGCUCCUAAGUUCAACAAGUCUGCCAGAGUACAAGUGAUGCUGCUGGGUUGACUGGUAGUCAAUAUUGGAGGGCUGCCUGCUGGUUGAGUUGACUGGCAACGAAGUGCAUGACCGCAUGAGUUGCUAUUAGACCUGGACUCAAAAAAUAGUAUAGGAGUUAAAUGAGUUGAUAUUUGGCAAUAUCAGGCAUGAGUUAAACUCUAUGUGUAACUGUUAUUUUGUUUUUAAACUUUCAUCUGUAUGAGAUAAUAGUAUUGAUAUUUCUGUCAAUAUAUAUGAAGUAAAUUUUAGCAACA